rnacentral:rRNA from 1 species
AUCAGUGAAAACGAGUAGGGCGGGACACGUGAUAUCCUGUCUGAAUAUGGGGGGACCAUCCUCCAAGGCUAAAUACUACUGACUGACCGAUAGUGAACCAGUACCGUGAGGGAAAGGCGAAAAGAACCCCUGUGAGGGGAGUGAAAUAGAACCUGAAACCGUGUACGUACAAGCAGUAGGAGCACCUUCGUGGUGUGACUGCGUACCUUUUGUAUAAUGGGUCAGCGACUUAAUUUUAGUAGCAAGGUUAACCGUUUAGGGGAGCCGUAGGGAAACCGAGUCUUAACUGGGCGUACAGUUGCUAGGAUUAGACCCGAAACCAGGUGAUCUAGCCAUGGGCAGGUUGAAGGUUGAGUAACAUCAACUGGAGGACCGAACCGACUAAUGUUGAAAAAUUAGCGGAUGACUUGUGGCUAGGGGUGAAAGGCCAAUCAAACCUGGAGAUAGCUGGUUCUCCCCGAAAGCUAUUUAGGUAGCGCCUCGGACGAAUACUACUGGGGGUAGAGCACUGUUAAGGCUAGGGGGUCAUCCCGACUUACCAACCCUUUGCAAACUCCGAAUACCAGUAAGUACUAUCCGGGAGACACACGGCGGGUGCUAACGUCCGUCGUGGAGAGGGAAACAACCCAGACCGCCAGCUAAGGUCCCAAAGUAUAGCUAAGUGGGAAACGAUGUGGGAAGGCUCAGACAGCCAGGAUGUUGGCUUAGAAGCAGCCAUCAUUUAAAGAAAGCGUAAUAGCUCACUGGUCGAGUCGGCCUGCGCGGAAGAUGUAACGGGGCUAAGCUAUACACCGAAGCUGCGGCUACGUACCUUAGGGUAUGUGGGGUAGGGGAGCGUUCUGUAAGCCGUUGAAGGUGGUCUGUAAGGGCUGCUGGAGGUAUCAGAAGUGCGAAUGCUGACAUGAGUAACGAUAAAGGGAGUGAAAAACUCCCUCGCCGGAAGACCAAGGGUUCCUGUCCAACGUUAAUCGGGGCAGGGUAAGUCGACUCCUAAGGCGAGGCCGAAAGGCGUAGUCGAUGGGAAACGGGUUAAUAUUCCCGUACUUCUUACAAUUGCGAUGGGGGGACGGAGAAGGCUAGGUGGGCCUGGCGACGGUUGUCCAGGUUCAAGUACGUAGGCGGGUGGUUUAGGUAAAUCCGGACCGCUACUAACGCUGAGAUACGAUGUCGAGCUACUACGGUAGUGAAGUCAUUGAUGCCAUGCUUCCAGGAAAAGCCUCUAAGCUUCAGAUUGUAAGGAAUCGUACCCCAAACCGACACAGGUGGUCGGGUAGAGAAUACCAAGGCGCUUGAGAGAACUCGGGUGAAGGAACUAGGCAAAAUGGUACCGUAACUUCGGGAGAAGGUACGCUCUUAUCAGUGAAGUCCCUUGCGGAUGGAGCAGACGAGAGUCGCAGAUACCAGGUGGCUGCAACUGUUUAUUAAAAACACAGCACUGUGCAAAAUCGUAAGAUGACGUAUACGGUGUGACGCCUGCCCGGUGCCGGAAGGUUAAUUGAUGGGGUUAGACUUCGGUCGAAGCUCUUGAUCGAAGCCCCGGUAAACGGCGGCCGUAACUAUAACGGUCCUAAGGUAGCGAAAUUCCUUGUCGGGUAAGUUCCGACCUGCACGAAUGGCGUAAUGAUGGCCACGCUGUCUCCACCCGAGACUCAGUGAAAUUGAAAUCGCUGUGAAGAUGCAGUGUACCCGCGGCUAGACGGAAAGACCCCGUGAACCUUUACUACAGCUUGGCACUGAACAUUGAACCUACAUGUGUAGGAUAGGUGGGAGACUAUGAAACCGCGUCGCUAGAUGUGGUGGAGUCGUCCUUGAAAUACCACCCUUGUAGUUUUGAUGUUCUAACGUUGGUCCCUGAAUCGGGAUUACGGACAGUGCCUGGUGGGUAGUUUGACUGGGGCGGUCUCCUCCCAAAGAGUAACGGAGGAGCACGAAGGUGGGCUAAACACGGUUGGACAUCGUGUGGUUAGUGCAAUGGCAUAAGCCCGCUUGACUGCGAGAAUGACAAUUCGAGCAGGUGCGAAAGCAGGUCAUAGUGAUCCGGUGGUUCUGAAUGGAAGGGCCAUCGCUCAACGGAUAAAAGGUACUCCGGGGAUAACAGGCUGAUACCGCCCAAGAGUUCAUAUCGACGGCGGUGUUUGGCACCUCGAUGUCGGCUCAUCACAUCCUGGGGCUGAAGUCGGUCCCAAGGGUAUGGCUGUUCGCCAUUUAAAGUGGUACGCGAGCUGGGUUUAGAACGUCGUGAGACAGUUCGGUCCCUAUCUGCCGUGGGCGUUGGAAAAUUGAA